rnacentral:rRNA from 1 species
UGCCAGCCGCCGCGGUAAUACGGAGGGUGCAAGCGUUAUCCGGAUUUAUUGGGUUUAAAGGGUGCGCAGGCGGAAAAUUAAGUCAGUGGUGAAAUCCUUCGGCUCAACCGGAGAACUGCCAUUGAUACUGAUUUUCUUGAGUAUAGUUGAUGUGGGCGGAAUGUGUCAUGUAGCGGUGAAAUGCAUAGAUAUGACACAGAACACCGAUAGCGAAGGCAGCUCACAAAACUACGAUUGACGCUGAGGCACGAAAGCGUGGGGAGCGAACAGGAUUAGAUA